AACUCCGUGCCAGCAGCCGCGGUAAUACGGAGGGUGCAAGCGUUAAUCGGAAUUACUGGGCGUAAAGCGCGCGUAGGCGGCUUGAUAAGCCGGUUGUGAAAGCCCCGGGCUCAACCUGGGAACGGCAUCCGGAACUGUCAGGCUAGAGUGCAGGAGAGGAAGGUAGAAUUCCCGGUGUAGCGGUGAAAUGCGUAGAGAUCGGGAGGAAUACCAGUGGCGAAGGCGGCCUUCUGGACUGACACUGACGCUGAGGUGCGAAAGCGUGGGUAGCAAACAGGAUUAGAUACCCUGGUAGUCCACGCCGUAAACGAUGUCGACUAGCCGUUGGGGUCCUCGAGACCUUUGUGGCGCAGUUAACGCGAUAAGUCGACCGCCUGGGGAGUACGGCCGCAAGGUUAAAACUCAAAUGAAUUGACGGGGGCCCGCACAAGCGGUGGAGCAUGUGGUUUAAUUCGAUGCAACGCGAAGAACCUUACCUACUCUUGACAUCGAGCGAACUUUCCAGAGAUGGAUUGGUGCCUUCGGGAACGCUCAGACAGGUGCUGCAUGGCCGUCGUCAGCUCGUGUUGUGAAAUGUUGGGUUAAGUCCCGUAACGAGCGCAACCCUUGUCCCUAUUUGCCAGCGAUUCGGUCGGGAACUCUAGGGAGACUGCCGGUGACAAACCGGAGGAAGGUGGGGACGACGUCAGGUCAUCAUGGCCCUUACGAGUAGGGCUACACACGUGCUACAAUGGCCGGUACAAUGGGCUGCAAUCCCGCGAGGGGGAGCCAAUCUCAUAAAGCCGGUCUCAGUCCGGAUCGGAGUCUGCAACUCGACUCCGUGAAGUCGGAAUCGCUAGUAAUCGUGCAUCAGAAUGGCACGGUGAAUACGUUCCCGGGCCUUGUACACACCGCCCGUCACACCAUGGGAGUGGACUGCACCAGAAGUGGUUAGCCUAACUUCGGAGGGCGAUCACCACGGUGUGGUUCAUGACUGGGGUGAAGUCGUAA
rnacentral:rRNA from 1 species